CCCUUAGACGUUCUGGGCCGCACGCGCGCUACACUGACGAAGGCAACGAGCUUUCCUUUACCGAAAGGUACGGGUAAUCUUUUGAAACUUCGUCGUGCUGGGGAUAGAUCCUUGCAAUUUUUGAUCUUAAACGAGGAAUGCCUAGUAAGCGCAAGUCAUCAACUUGCGUUGAUUACGUCCCUGCCCUUUGUACACACCGCCCGUCGCUACUACCGAUUGAAUGGUUUAGUGAGGCCUUCGGAUCCGCGACUCGUUUGUGGAGAAGUUGGACAAACUCAGUCAUUUAGAGGAAGUAAAANUCGUANCA
rnacentral:rRNA from 1 species